rnacentral:misc_RNA from 1 species
UGGCUCUGGCAUCGAUGAAGAACGCAGCGAAAUGCGAUACGUAAUGUGAAUUGCAGAAUUCCGUGAAUCAUCGAAUCUUUGAACGCACAUUGCGCCCGCCAGUACUCUGGCGGGCAUGCCUGUCCGAGCGUCAUUUCAACCCUCAAGCCCAGCUUGGUGUUGGGGAUCGGCCCGCCCCUAGCGGCGCGCCGGCCCUGAAAUCUAGUGGCGGUCUCGCUGUAGCCUCCCCUGCGUAGUAGCGAUAUCUCGCACCGGAGCGCGGCAAGGCCACGCCGUUAAACCCCCCACUUCUGGAUGGUUGACCUCGGAUCAGGUAGGAAUACCCGCUGA